AGUGUCUCAGGCUUUUCUACCCCAGGUUGGCUUCGAAUUUCAAUCCUCCAGAUCUCAGCCUCCUGAGUAUCUAGGAUUACAGGCGUGAGGCACCAG